rnacentral:rRNA from 1 species
GACGAACGCUGGCGGCGUGCCUAACACAUGCAAGUCGAGCGAAUGAAGUUCCUUCGGGAAUGGAUUUAGCGGCGGACGGGUGAGUAACACGUGGGCAACCUGCCUCAUAGAGGGGAAUAGCCUUCCGAAAGGGAGAUUAAUACCGCAUAAGAUUGUAGUAUCGCAUGAUACAGCAAUUAAAGGAGCAAUCCGCUAUGAGAUGGGCCCGCGGCGCAUUAGCUAGUUGGUGAGGUAACGGCUCACCAAGGCGACGAUGCGUAGCCGACCUGAGAGGGUGAUCGGCCACAGUGGGACUGAGACACGGCCCAGACUCCUACGGGAGGCAGCAGUGGGGAAUAUUGCACAAUGGGGGAAACCCUGAUGCAGCAACGCCGCGUGAGUGAUGACGGCCUUCGGGUUGUAAAGCUCUGUCUUCAGGGACGAUAAUGACGGUACCUGAGGAGGAAGCCACGGCUAACUACGUG